UGGGGAAUAUUGCACAAUGGGGGAAACCCUGAUGCAGCGACGCCGCGUGAGCGAAGAAGGUUUUCAAAUCGUAAAGCUCUGUCCUAUGGGAAGAUAAUGACGGUACCAUAGGAGGAAGCCCCGGCUAACUACGUGCCAGCAGCCGCGGUAAUACGUAGGGGGCAAGCGUUGUCCGGAAUCACCGGGCGUAAAGGGUUCGCAGGCGGAAAUGCAAGUCAGUUGUGAAAGGCAGAGGCUCAACCUCUGUAAGCAAUUGAAACUGUAUUUCUUGAGAUGUGGAGAGGCAAGUGGAAUUCCUAGUGUAGCGGUGAAAUGCGUAGAUAUUAGGAAGAAUACCGGUGGCGAAGGCGACUUGCUGGACACAAACUGACGCUGAGGAACGAAAGCGUGGGUAGCAAACAGG
rnacentral:rRNA from 1 species